rnacentral:rRNA from 1 species
GACGAACGCUGGCGGCGUGCUUAACACAUGCAAGUCGAACGGAAAGGCCCUGCUUUUGUGGCGUGCUCGAGUGGCGAACGGGUGAGUAACACGUGAGUAACCUGCCCUUGACUUUGGGAUAACUUCAGGAAACUGGGGCUAAUACCGGAUAGGAGCUCCUGCUGCAUGGUGGGGGUUGGAAAGUUUCGGCGGUUGGGGAUGGACUCGCGGCUUAUCAGCUUGUUGGUGGGGUAGUGGCUUACCAAGGCUUUGACGGGUAGCCGGCCUGAGAGGGUGACCGGCCACAUUGGGACUGAGAUACGGCCCAGACUCCUACGGGAGGCAGCAGUGGGGAAUAUUGCACAAUGGGCGGAAGCCUGAUGCUGCAACGCCGCGUGCGGGAUGACGGCCUUCGGGUUGUAAACCGCUUUCGCCUGUGACGAAGCGUGAGUGACGGUAAUGGGUAAAGAAGCACCGGCUAACUACGUG